GUGAUUAAUCAACUCCUCGUUUAAAAAAGACAAAUGAAUACAUUUCUCACCAAUUUUCUCCUAAAUCUUACCCUAGAAAGCCACUGUUGUUGCGCCGACAGACAGUCCUCACCACUUCCAGCCUGCAUUACCCUGUUGAGAAAAAAUCAACCACAAUUUAUUUACCUCUAAAAUAGAGACCAGGUUUUGAAAACUUAAAAAGACAAAUGAACACAUUUGUCGCCCAUUUUCUCCCAAAAUCGUACCCUAGAAAGCCGCUGUUGUUUCGCUGACACACAAUCCUUACCACCUCUUGCCUGCAUCAACCCGUUAAAGAAGAAAUCAACCUCAAUCUAUUUACCACUAAAAUAGAGACCGAGUUUUGAAAAUAUCUCCAUAACAAGUUGAUCCAAAUUUGUAGAUCGAUGAACAAGAUGUGAGCAGCAAACUUCCAGCCACUGUGAAGUCUAGACCACAAUCAUCAUCUGCCAUGAACACAUCAUUUAUACACAUCACUUGAGAAUGAAGCUCGAAGCUGGACUGAAAGAAGAUGGACCUUUACGUUCAGACAAAGCUCGAAUAGAAGAUGGAGAUGAUGGACCUUUACGUGGCAAGGUGUUUUGACUAAGCAGGGUGUACUAAACCAAAGUGCUCAUACCUUCCUAUGUAAUGGGUUGGGUUAUAGGUUUACAUGAAGCUGAAGCUAAAAGAUAUGUCAGUAAAAUGAAGCUCGAAGCUGGACUGAAAGAAGAUGGAUCUGUUGGAAUACUUUCAAAUAUGGGAUUCACAUUCGAUUGUAAAAUUUCACAGGUUAGAUGUAUGACUUACAAUGACAUUAUAAUUAGACCGAUUAUGUUAAAUGAUUAAUUUGGGCUGUUUUACA